AGCUUCUUUAUUCCUCCAAUUCAGACCAAUCUCCUUCAUCUGCAGCUCCGCCGGAACUCCAAUCUUAAGCUUGUCGGCGUAUUUGGGGUAGAUCAUGGUGGAAUAGUUUGGAGGAAGGGGUGGUGGGGGGAUCGUCACAUCCGGUAAGGUCAUGUUCUUCCGUUUAUUCUCCGCGUACUUCAGCACUUUCUCCUUCACGCUGGCUGCCCGACUCUCCAUCUAAGAUUAGAGAAAAAGAGAGGAACAAUUAGCAUAAGAAAUAACCUUUCAGCUUUGGCUGUUCUUUAGAGUUAAGAAAAACAGGAGAGACAUGAUGAAGAAUUUUGGAAACCAUCUCCCCUCCCCCCUCUCUUCCCUCCUCCCCUCCCCCCUCCCCACU